UCCAUCCAUCCCUGCUGAGGUCCUGACAAGGCAAACAACAAAAUGGGAAACAGCUACGUCCAGAGAGGCCAGAAAAUUGUACACCAGGGACCACACACUGAAAAGCAAAGCUCCAGCUGAAGCCCCUCACAUGUAUGAUGAAGUGUUGGAAAUAAAGUCGCCCUUUGGACAUUUACCUUUAUUUAAUCAAGAUGUAG